GUGCUUACUUUGGCAGCAUAUAUACUAAAAUUGGAAUGAUACCUAGAAGGUUAGCAUGGCCCCUGUGCAAGGAUGACAUGCGAAUUUGUGAAGCAUUUCAUAUUUUU